GUCAGAUGUAGAGUGAUCACUUUAGCCCACAUGUGAUAGGGUGUUUUUGUCUUUUAUUGUUUUCCGGUGUGAGUACAUUCGAGAGCGCAGUGAUUGUCUGGUUUCACCCAUACAGUUGUUAUUGGAUCAUUUAGUGCACUGGACGAGGUACACCACAUAUUGUGAUAGACAUGUGUAGGACCUGUGGAUCUUGAAAGGUGUGUUUAAGGGGGAGAGGGUGGUGA